CUAAACAGAGCAAGAGAAGGGAAACCCUCCUACAAACCCAAAUCAAUGAAUUGAACAUCAAUUGAAGUCCGAGUGCGUGCAUGAUUCGAGAUUAACGUUCAUCCAAUCAUAACUAACAUAAGGUAACUUGGGUGAAGCUUCGGGAAGUCAAGCCGGAACAAACACACGUUUAAAAGAGAAGCUUUAAGUUUCAGGUAAAUUACAAACACUUUUGGGAUGAAGAUCAAGCCAAGAUAAGGAAUCGAACAGGUCGAAGAUCUUGUUUUCGCACCUUUUGUUAAUCUCACGUUAAUGAAUUAAUCAAUUAAUGGAAAUGUAAUAGUUAUGUAGCUAAAUACAUGUUCAAGACAAUAUUGUUAUGUAUUAACUAUCAUAUUUCCAUAUGAUGA